CAUUUAAAGAAAGCGUAAUAGCUCACUGGUCGAGUCGGCCUGCGCGGAAGAUGUAACGGGGCUAAACCAUGCACCGAAGCUGCGGCAGCGAACGUAUCACCCAAGACAACUUUACGGAGUUGACGAUUGACGGAGCGAAGCGACGUCAAAGCGUUCAUUAAAGUCGAGUUGGCUUAGGGAUACGUUCGUUGGGUAGGGGAGCGUUCUGUAAGCCUGUGAAGGUGUGUCGUGAGGCAUGCUGGAGGUAUCAGAAGUGCGAAUGCUGACAUAAGUAACGAUAAAGCGGG
rnacentral:rRNA from 1 species